rnacentral:rRNA from 1 species
GUACCCAAAGAAUAAGCACCGGCUAAAUUUGUGCCCGCAGCCGCGGUAAUUCGAAGGGUGCCAACGUUUCUUGGAAUUUCUGGGGGUAAAGCGUGGGUAGGUGGUUUUUUAAAUCCGUUGUGAAAACCCCGGGCUCCACCUGGGAAAUGCAGUGGAUAAUGGGCGAGUAGAGUGUGGUAGAGGGUAGCGGAAUUCUCGGUGUAGCAGUGAAAAGGGUAGAGAUCAGGAGGAACCUCCAUGGGGAAGGCAGCCCCCCGGGCCAACACUGACCAUGAGGCAGGAAAAGGUGGGGAGCAAACCAGAUUAGAUACCCCGGUAGUCCCCCCCCUAAACGAUGCGAACUGGACGUUGGGUGCCAUUUGGCUCGCAGUAUCGAAGCUAACGCGUUAAGUUGGCCGCCUGGGGAGUACGGUCGCAAGAUUGAAACUCAAAGGAAUUGACGGGGGCCCGCACAAGCGGUGGAGCAUGUGGUUUAAUUCGAAGCAACGCGAAGAACCUUACCUGGCCUUGACAUGUUGAGAACUUUCCAGAGAUGGAUUGGUGCCUUCGGGAACUCGGACACAGGUGCUGCA